rnacentral:rRNA from 1 species
GACGAACGCUGGCGGCGUGCUUAACACAUGCAAGUCGAACGGAAAGGCCCUGCUUUUGUGGGGUGCUCGAGUGGCGAACGGGUGAGUAACACGUGAGUAACCUGCCCUUGACUUUGGGAUAACUUCAGGAAACUGGGGCUAAUACCGGAUAGGAGCUCCUGCUGCAUGGUGGGGGUUGGAAAGUUUCGGCGGUUGGGGAUGGACUCGCGGCUUAUGAGCUUGUUGGUGGGGUAGUGGCUUACCAAGGCUUUGACGGGUAGCCGGCCUGAGAGGGUGACCGGCCACAUUGGGACUGAGAGACGGCCCAGACGCCUACGGGAGGCAGCAGUGGGGAAUAUUGCACAAUGGGCGGAAGCCUGAUGCAGCAACGCCGCGUGCGGGAUGACGGCCUUCGGGUGGUAAACCGCUUUCGCCUGUGACGAAGCGUGAGUGACGGUAAUGGGUAAAGAAGCACCGGCUAACUACGUG